rnacentral:rRNA from 1 species
GAAGGAUCAUUACCGAGAGAGGGGCUUCGGGCUCCCGGGGGCUACGGCCCCCAACUCUUCACCCCAUGCGUACCUACCUCUGUUGCUUUGGCGGACACGAGAAUCCUCUCGCGCCGGCUCUUCGGGGUUGGUGAGCGUCCGUCAGAGGCAUUCUUAAUUCUAUUUUAUUAGUGGCGUCCGAGUCCAAACAAACGAAUAAAAACUUUCAACAACGGAUCUCUUGGUUCCAGCAUCGAUGAAGAACGCAGCGAAAUGCGAUAAGUAAUGUGAAUUGCAGAAUUCAGUGAAUCAUCGAAUCUUUGAACGCACAUUGCGUCCCUCGGCAUUCCGGGGGGCAUGCCUGUUCGAGCGUCAUUGCACCCCUCAAGCGCAGCUUGGUAUUGGGCUUUCGCCUCCGUGGCGUGCCCGAAAAGCAGUGGCGGUCCGGCGCAGACUUUGAGCGUAGUAAAUGUCUUUCCGCUUCGAAGCACUCGCCGUGGCCGGCCAAAGAACCCCAUCCACUUCUAUAAUGAC